GCAAUUUGAAGUCUCACCCGUGGAGUGGACGCACUGCCCGGGACCUUGCCCAGUUGGGACUCCAGAUUGCUGUUUUUGGGAAUUCCCAGGGCCGUUCGAGUCUGGAUGUAGGUGUCGGCCCAGUUUGGUGAGGCCCAGCUUACAAAGCAGUGCAUCAGAAUUACCUGUGGGGUAAACAAAAAAACAGCAGCAGAAGGAGCACCAACAUGGCUGUUCCCUGACAACAGAGAACAUGAAGGAGAAGGUCAGGAGAAGAAUGAACAGAUUAUCUUCAUGAGCAAAGAAAAUUGACUUCCUUUUCUUGAAGGCAAGGCCUCUGCUGCUGGUGAUGGGCCAUCCGACAACUUCCAGCCCUGGCAUCUGUGCAGGCAGAAACACUUACUGCCAGGUACAAGAAGGGAGACAGACCACUCACCUGGGACAGAUUUCAGAAUUUCUACUCAGACUUCUUCAAAGCCCAAGGAAUUAUUCUUCCUAAAACUCCACUUCUUCCGAGCCUGCCCUUGUGGAAAGGGGAGAGGAACAACUUAGUGGCUUUGAAAGUGACUUAGGGAGACCCGGGAAGUGACUUCCUUGAUUUGGAAAGGGAUGGCUACAUGCUCUGGGUACUUCCCUCCUGCCUCUGGUGUAUCUGGGAGGUGAAUAAAGGGAAAUGCACUUCAGGAGUAGGUGGAGGGAAUUAGGGGUUCUUGGAAUGGUGUUCAUGGUGUUAAAAACAAGACGAGCCCAAAAUGCAGUCGCUUGUGCUAAGUCACUAGCAACCAUUUCACCAAACUGAGGCUUAACUAUAGUUUUGCUUCCCCCAGAAAUGGAAUCUUACACUAGUUGAUCAAGAAUUACCUGACCAGCAAUAGCUAUGUAAUCUUGCCAUCACCUAAAGGAAAGUAACUUUGCAUUAACUAACCCACUUUCUUUGCCUGGUAUAAUUUCCUUGAUGCUAUUCCCCUCUGUCUGAAAGUUUUUCAUUUUGUACAGCCCCUUGGAGCUCCUUUCUGUCUGCUAGAUUGGAUGCUGCCCAGUUUGAAUCAAUUUUUGCUCAAAUAAACUCUUUAAAUUUUUAAUAUUCCUCAUUUUAACUUUUAACAAUAAGACAAUGUCUGCAGAGAGCAGGUCACAGGAGAAGGUAGGCAUUUUAGUGGCCAAGGUAACAAGUCCAGUUAACUAUCUACCUUUACAUCAUACAGACAAAAACCAAGUUGUUGACUGAGCAGACCAGGCCUUAUACACUGUGAUAAAGCUUAGUGUUUGCUGUGCAAAACUAAAGAUAAGAAUCCCUUCCAGGUCAAAACUCCGACAUAAGGAAUGAUGAUUUUUCUUCCUCCUUCACCAAUUACUUAAAAUAAAUAAUAACACUUUUUUCAAUGAUUUUUGAAUGACUAAAGAAUGCUAUAUACAUACUUUGUAUGCGUUAUUUAUUAUUUAUUUUAUAGUGGCUGUAACCCAGAGUGUAGGCAAUACAUAUGGGGACUACCACAGAGUGAGCUUUUCACCAGCCGGAAGCUGUGGGCAAAAAUCUUGAAUGUCACUUUUGAGAUUAGGUUAGAAGACUAUGUUUUCUUUCUUGUUGUUUUUUUUUUUUAAUUAAUUUUUGUUGGAUUAUAUUUGCUUUACAAUGUGUUAGUUUCUGCUGU